UGCCAGCAGCCGCGGUAAUACGGAGGGUCCGAGCGUUAAUCGGAAUUACUGGGCGUAAAGCGCGCGUAGGCGGUUAGAUCAGUUGGGUGUGAAAUCCCCGGGCUCAACCUGGGAACUGCAUUCAAUACUGUCUGACUGGAGUAUGGGAGAGGGCAGUGGAAUUCCACGUGUAGCGGUGAAAUGCGUAGAUAUGUGGAGGAACACCUGUGGCGAAGGCGGCUGCCUGGCCCAAUACUGACGCUGAGGUGCGAAAGCGUGGGUAGCGAACAGGAUUAGAUA
rnacentral:rRNA from 1 species